GACGAACGCUGGCGGCGUGCUUAACACAUGCAAGUCGAACGAAGUGGCGAACGGGUGAGUAACGCGUAAUCAACCUGCCCUUCAGAGGGGGACUACAGUUGGAAACGACUGCUAAUACCGCAUACUGAAGGAGGGGAUUGCGUCUGAUUAGGUAGUCGGAUGGGUAACGGCCCACCAAGGCAAUGAUCAGUAGGCGGUCUUAGGGGAUGAACGGCCAAAUUGGGACGGAGACACGGCCAAGACUCCUACGGGAGGCAGCAGUGGGGAAUCUUCCGAAAUGGACGAAAGUCUGACGGAGCAACGCCGCGGGAGGGAUGACGGCCUUCGGGUUGUAAAGCUCUGUUAAUCGGGACGCGGUACCGGAAUAGAAAGCCACGGCUAACUACGUGCCAGCAGCCGCGGUAAUUC
rnacentral:rRNA from 1 species